rnacentral:rRNA from 1 species
UAGGGAAUCUUCGGCAAUGGGGGCAACCCUGACCGAGCAACGCCGCGUGAGUGAAGAAGGUUUUCGGAUCGUAAAGCUCUGUUGUAAGAGAAGAACGUGUGUGAGAGUGGAAAGUUCACACAGUGACGGUAACUUACCAGAAAGGGACGGCUAACUACCUGCCAGCAGCCGCGGUAAUACGUAGGUCCCGAGCGUUGUCCGGAUUUAUUGGGCGUAAAGCGAGCGCAGGCGGUUUAAUAAGUCUGAAGUUAAAGGCAGUGGCUUAACCAUUGUUCGCUUUGGAAACUGUUAAACUUGAGUGCAGAAGGGGAGAGUGGAAUUCCAUGUGUAGCGGUGAAAUGCGUAGAUAUAUGGAGGAACACCGGUGGCGAAAGCGGCUCUCUGGUCUGUAACUGACGCUGAGGCUCGAAAGCGUGGGGAGCAAACAGG